rnacentral:rRNA from 1 species
CAGGCCUAACACAUGCAAGUCGAACGGGGUCUUCGGACCCAGUGGCGAACGGCGGAGUAAUACAUAAGCAACGUGCCCUAAAGACUGGGAUAAUCAUUGGAAGCGAUGGGUAAUACCAGAUGUGGUCUUCUCUUGGCAUCUUGAGAAGAUUAAACGGUUUUUCGCUUUAGGAGCGGCUUAUGGCCUAUCAGGUAGUUGGUGGGGUAACAGCCUACCAAGCCGACGACGGGUAGCGGGUCUGAGAGGAUGAUCCGCUCGAGUGGGACUGAGACACGGCCCACACACCUACGGGUGGCAGCAGUUGGGAAUCUUGCACAAUGGGGGAAACCCUGAUGCAGCGACGCCGCGUGGAGGAUGAAGGGUCUAGGCCUGUAAACUCCUUUUGACGGGAAAGACUUAGGACGGUACCCGUUGAAUAAGGACCGGCUAACUACGUGCCAGCAGCCGCGGUAAGACGUAGGGUCCAAGCGUUGUCCGGAUUUACUGGGCGUAAAGAGCGCGUAGGCGGUCUGUUAAGUGUGAAGUGAAAUCUCCAGGGCUCAACCCGGAAACUGCUUCGCAUACUGGCAGACUGGAGGGAUGCAGAGGUUUGUGGAAUUCCUGGUGUAGCGGUGAUAUGCAUAGAUAUCAGGAGGAACACCCAUGGCGAAGGCAGCAAACUGGGCAUCAUCUGACGCUGAGGCGCGAAAGCGUGGGUAGCAAACAGGAUUAGAUACCCUGGUAGUCCACGCCCUAAACGAUGGAUACUAG